AUUGAACGCUGGCGGAAUGCUUUACACAUGCAAGUCGAACGGCAGCACGGGGGCAGCCCUGGUGGCGAGUGGCGAACGGGUGAGUAAUACAUCGGAACGUGCCCGGUCGUGGGGGAUAACGUAGCGAAAGUUACGCUAAUACCGCAUACGAUCUGGGGAUGAAAGCGGGGGACCUUCGGGCCUCGCGCGAUCGGAGCGGCCGAUGUCAGAUUAGGUAGUUGGUGGGGUAAAGGCCUACCAAGCCGACGAUCUGUAGCUGGUCUGAGAGGACGACCAGCCACACUGGGACUGAGACACGGCCCAGACUCCUACGGGAGGCAGCAGUGGGGAAUUUUGGACAAUGGGCGCAAGCCUGAUCCAGCCAUUCCGCCUGCAGGACGAAGGCCUUCGGGUUGUAAACUGCUUUUGUACGGAACGAAAAGGCUCUGGCUAAUACCUGGGGCUCAUGACGGUACCGUAAGAAUAAGCACCGGCUAACUACGUG
rnacentral:rRNA from 1 species